rnacentral:rRNA from 1 species
UACGGAGGGGGCCAGCGUUGUUCGGAAUUAUUGGGCGUAAAGGGCGCGCAGGCGGCCAGGCCAGUCGGAGGUGAAAUCCCUCAGCUUAACUGAGGAACUGCCUCCGAUACUGCAUGGCUUGAGUCCCGGAGAGGGUAGCGGAAUUCCUAGUGUAGCGGUGAAAUGCGUAGAUAUUAGGAGGAACACCAGUGGCGAAGGCGGCUACCUGGACGGGUACUGACGCUGAGGCGCGAAAGCGUGGGGAGCAAACAGGAUUAGAUACCCGCGUA